GAAUAUCCCUUUAAAUCAAACUUCAAACAUGCACGUUAGCAAUAUACAGAAUAUUUUAAUUACAUUUCAUGUUAAUCAUUAUUGUUUACUUAACAAUGAUUGUUGGUCACUGAUUUAAAAAAAUGUCUUUAAUAGGUUUCCUGUCCAUUGUGUGAUAAGAAUUUACUCAGGAGUCUAUACAAUUGCAUGCCAGCUUUUGUGGUGAAGGAGGAAGAGGACAGGUGCAUGUUUUUACCCAUGCACGUUGUACACAAUAUGUUAUGAGAGUUUAAUCUUUUUUUUUUUGUUUGUUUCCACAUCUGAACAGCAUCAUACUGGAUGUGGAUGACUCUUCCAAGCACUUAAUCUGGUUAGAAUUUUUACAAAUAUUUGUGUUAAUGUGUAGGUUUUAAAAUAAAUAAUAAUAAACACAAUGUUGUUGUCAAUAGCUUAUCAGACAUCCUGAAGUUCCUACAAGAAAGAGUUGACAACACUAAAACCUUUAACAUUAAUGUGACAAGGGACGACCUUUACCAGAGAGGUCUGAAACAGCGGGCCAGACAGAAGCAGGCUUCCCACAAAAACCAGCUAAUUGUUUCCUUUAUUGGAGAACACGACAUUGAUGAAGGAGCACUACGCCGAGAGUUCCUAACUGGAUCUGUGGGGAGAUCAUUGCCACCAGCUUGGUUCAAGCAGGACCAGCACCGAAUUUCUUUUCUACUUGGUCUUACCAUUUCUUGCGUCAUGGACAAAUAACAAAUGAAGAUGUGCCAGAGGUGACUGAUACGGCAAUCCAGAACCUGAUUCAGGAGGUAAAUUAAACAGAAUAAUUUAUUUUCUGUAAAUUGUACUAACAAGUGUUUCUGAUUGAAGGUCGAACGUGCCGAAGAAGACGCACUGACAGACCUUUCUGAUGCCAUUGUAGCAUGUGGCUACACUGGUCAAUUCACAGCAAUUGCAAAAAGGCCAUCAUUGAGGCCAUCAGUUUGCAUUCGGUGAUGAGACUCAUACCGAUGCUAAGUCAGCUUAGAGAAGGACUGGCCAUCUAGGGUUUGGAUGAGCUGUUGCCACAACACCACCAGGCACUUCAGCCCCUCUUUCUUCCUGGGAACCUUAAACAGGUGGAUGCAGACUUCGUUGUGGAGGCACUGGCUCCUCAGUACAGUGACAAUGGAUCAGUAAGACACAAAGGAAGUGGACAUGAUCAACUUUUUGCAGGACCUCUUGCAAAACCUGGAAGAAGGAGGAACAGAUGACCAAGAUGGGAGCCCAUCAGAUGGCUGUGGAGCAAAGCAGUUGUCAGUGCAAGGAUUUUUUUCAGUGGGUUUCAGGCCAGGCACAUGUGCCACUAACAGACACAGAAAGAGAAUU